rnacentral:rRNA from 1 species
GUCGAGCGGUAGAGAGGAGCUUGCUUCUCUUGAGAGCGGCGGACGGGUGAGUAAUGCCUAGGAAUCUGCCUAGUGGUGGGGGAUAACGUUCGGAAACGGACGCUAAUACCGCAUACGUCCUACGGGAGAAAGCGGGGGAUCUUCGGACCUCGCGCCAUUAGAUGAGCCUAGGUCGGAUUAGCUAGUUGGUGAGGUAAUGGCUCACCAAGGCGACGAUCCGUAACUGGUCUGAGAGGAUGAUCAGUCACACUGGAACUGAGACACGGUCCAGACUCCUACGGGAGGCAGCAGUGGGGAAUAUUGGACAAUGGGCGAAAGCCUGAUCCAGCCAUGCCGCGUGUGUGAAGAAGGUCUUCGGAUUGUAAAGCACUUUAAGUUGGGAGGAAGGGUUGUAGAUUAAUACUCUGCAAUUUUGACGUUACCGACAGAAUAAGCACCGGCUAACUUCGUGCCAGCAGCCGCGGUAAUACGAAGGGUGCAAGCGUUAAUCGGAAUUACUGGGCGUAAAGCGCGCGUAGGUGGUUCGUUAAGUUGGAUGUGAAAGCCCCGGGCUCAACCUGGGAACUGCAUCCAAAACUGGCGAGCUAGAGUACGGUAGAGGGUAGUGGAAUUUCCUGUGUAGCGGUGAAAUGCGUAGAUAUAGGAAGGAACACCAGUGGCGAAGGCGACUACCUGGACUGAUACUGACACUGAGGUGCGAAAGCGUGGGGAGCAAACAGGAUUAGAUACCCUGGUAGUCCACGCCGUAAACGAUGUCAACUAGCCGUUGGAAUCCUUGAGAUUUUAGUGGCGCAGCUAACGCAUUAAGUUGACCGCCUGGGGAGUACGGCCGCAAGGUUAAAACUCAAAUGAAUUGACGGGGGCCCGCACAAGCGGUGGAGCAUGUGGUUUAAUUCGAAGCAACGCGAAGAACCUUACCUGGCCUUGACAUGCUGAGAACUUUCCAGAGAUGGAUUGGUGCCUUCGGGAACUCAG